GUACUUGCUUUGGCAGCACAUGUACUAAAACUGGAACAAUGCAGGGAAGAUUAGCAUGUCCCCUGUGCAAGGAUGACACGGAAAUUUGUGAGGUGUUCCAUAUGUUU
ensembl:snRNA LOC120098749 U6 spliceosomal RNA